UACGGGGGGGGCAAGCGUUGUUCGGAAUUACUGGGCGUAAAGGGCUCGUAGGCGGCCAACUAAGUCAGACGUGAAAUCCCUCGGCUUAACCGGGGAACUGCGUCUGAUACUGGAUGGCUUGAGAUUGGGAGAGGGAUGCGGAAUUCCAGGUGUAGCGGUGAAAUGCGUAGAUAUCUGGAGGAACACCAAUGGCGAAGGCAGCUUGCUGGGACGGUACUGACGCUGAGACGCGAAAGCGUGGGGAGCAAACAGG
rnacentral:rRNA from 1 species